rnacentral:rRNA from 1 species
UACGUAGGGGGCGAGCGUUGCUCGGAUUGACUGGGCGUAAAGGGCGCGUAGGCGGUUUGUACAGUCAGACGUGAAAUUCCUGGGCUCAACCUGGGGGCUGCGUUUGAUACGUAUGGACUUGAGUUCGGAAGAGGGUCGUGGAAUUCCCAGUGUAGAGGUGAAAUUCGUAGAUAUUGGGAAGAACACCGGUGGCGAAGGCGGCGACCUGGUCCGAUACUGACGCUGAGGCGCGAAAGCGUGGGGAGCAAACAGG